GAUGAACGCUGGCGGCGUGCCUAAUACAUGCAAGUCGAGCGAACAGAUGAGGAGCUUGCUCCUCUGACGUUAGCGGCGGACGGGUGAGUAACACGCGGAUAACCUACCUAUAAGACUGGGAUAACUUCGGGAAACCGGAGCUAAUACCGGAUAAUAUAUUGAACCGCAUGGUUCAAUAGUGAAAGACGGUUUUGCUGUCACUUAUAGCUGGAUCCGCGCCGCAUUAGCUAGUUGGUAAGGUAACGGCUUACCAAGGCAACGAUGCGUAGCCGACCUGAGAGGGGGAUCGGCCACACGGGAAGGUAGGCACGGUCCAGGCUCCUACGGGAGGCAGCAGUAGGGAAUCUUCCGCAAUGGGCGAAAGCCUGACGGAGCAACGCCGCGUGAGUGAUGAAGGUCUUCGGAUCGUAAAACUCUGUUAUGAGGGAAGAACAAAUGUGUAAGUAACUAUGCACGUCUUGACGGUACCUAAUCAGAAAGCCACGGCUAACUACGUG
rnacentral:rRNA from 1 species